UGGGGAAUUUUGGACAAUGGGCGAAAGCCUGAUCCAGCAAUGCCGCGUGUGUGAAGAAGGCCUUCGGGUUGUAAAGCACUUUUGUCCGGAAAGAAAUCCUUGGCUCUAAUACAGUCGGGGGAUGACGGUACCGGAAGAAUAAGCACCGGCUAACUACGUGCCAGCAGCCGCGGUAAUACGUAGGGUGCAAGCGUUAAUCGGAAUUACUGGGCGUAAAGCGUGCGCAGGCGGUUUGCUAAGACCGAUGUGAAAUCCCCGGGCUCAACCUGGGAACUGCAUUGGUGACUGGCAGGCUAGAGUAUGGCAGAGGGGGGUAGAAUUCCACGUGUAGCAGUGAAAUGCGUAGAGAUGUGGAGGAAUACCGAUGGCGAAGGCAGCCCCCUGGGCCAAUACUGACGCUCAUGCACGAAAGCGUGGGGAGCAAACAGGAUUAGAUACCCUGGUAGUCCACGCCCUAAAACGAUGUCAACUAGUUGUUGGGGAUUCAUUUCCUUAGUAACGUAGCUAACGCGUGAAGUUGACCGCCUGGGGAGUACGGUCGCAAGAUUAAAACUCAAAAGAAUUGACGGGGUCAUAGCUGUUUCCU
rnacentral:rRNA from 1 species